CCCUUAGAUGUUCUGGGCCGCACGCGCGCUACACUGACGAAUGCAACGAGCUUAUAACCUUGGCCGAAAGGUCUGCGUAAUCUCCAAAUUUCGUCGUGAUGGGGAUAGAUUAUUGCAAUUAUUAAUCUUCAACGAGGAAUGCCUAGUAAGCGCAAGUCAUCAGCUUGCGUUGAUUACGUCCCUGCCCUUUGUACACACCGCCCGUCGCUCCUACCGAUUGAAUGGUCCGGUGAAGCGUUCGGACCGUGGCCUUUGGACGGUUCGCCGUCUGUUGGCUGCGGGAAGUUCGUUAAACCUUAUCAUUUAGAGGAAGGAGAAGUCGUAACA
rnacentral:rRNA from 1 species